CUUUGAUUAAAAAUAAAUGCUAUGAUACAGCGCCAAAUGUGAAAUUGAUAUGUAGUCAACGUGCCAAGCCAGUAUUUCAUAUUAUUUAUUUCACUGUGAAUAUCUUUUCUUAUGAAACUAACAGGUGUGGUACACUUCAUAGAACUAUGUGUUCAUGGGAAAUAAACAAAAUUUUGUUUCCAGGAAAAUAAAUGAACUGUAAAUAAUACACUAUGUAUCAAAUUAAC